GGCGCAGACCUUCACCUGAAAAGCAGUUUUAAAAAAAAAUUGAAGAAGCCAAAAGGCUUCUUUUCCUCCCCACACUCCACCCACUCGGUAGCUCCACUCUGGCGAACUUUUCGGCCGGCCAAGGCUUUAUUUGGUUGGAGUCUACACCCCACUUCAUUGGCUUAUAGAAAGAGAAGGGAUUAAGGUUCAAGUGUGAGUUGUGAAUCAAUCCCAGAGUAGAGUUUGAUUUCUUCAUUUGGUGCCACUAAACUAGUUUCAAGGUGAGUUUGCUUCUGAUGUAGGUCCUCCAGAUCAGCAGGAGAGGGCGUGAUCGUGGUGGCCUGGGUGGAUGAUUGACUUAUGUUUUAGACUUUGGAUGUUUGUUAUUUGAUUUGGAUAUAUAUAUAUAUGUAUUAUGAGAUUGUUUCUCUGGAUUUAUGUUGGAGGACCAGGAGGCUGCUUGGGAUCAUUAGGACUGCUGUGUCAAGUAGUAUGGAGGUGGUUGUGGGCCCUGAGGGUCUUGGUUUCGAUUGUUUUGGAUUAUGUUUGGAUAUUAUGUUAUCCUUGGAUUUCUGUCUACGUGCAGAGUGACAUUCUUCAAUUUAUGGGGAGAUGCUGUCCAAUUUUCUGCUUGAUUAUUAUAAGUUUCUAUGUUUGUUA